ensembl:lncRNA
GUGUAGGAUUAGUGUAGUGUAGGAUUAGUGUAGUGUGGAGUUAGUGUAGUGUAUGGUUACUGUAGUGUAUGGUUAGUGUAGUGUGGGGUUAGUGUAGUGUAGGAUUAGUGUAGUGUGGAGUUAGUGUUGUGUGGGGUUAGUGUAGUGUGGGUUUAGUGUAGUGUAGGGUUAGUGUAGUGUAUGGUUAGUGUAGUGUAGGGUUAGUGUAGUGUAUGUGUAGUGUAGUGUAUGGUUAGUGUAGUGUGGGGUUAGUGUAGUGUAUGGUUAGUGUAGUGUGGGUUAGUGUAGUUGUGGAGUUAGUGUAGUGUAUGGUUAGCGUAGUGUAUGGUAGGAUUAGUGUAGUGUAUGGUUAGUGUAGUGUGGGGUUAGUGUAGUGUAUGGUUAGUGUGGUGUGGGUUUAGUGUAGUGUAUGGUUAGUGUGGUGUGGGGUUAGUGUAGUGUGGGUUAGUGUAGUGUAGAGUUAGUGUAGUGUGGGUUAGUGUAGUGUAGAGUUAGUGUAGUGUGGGUUAGUGUAGUGUAUGGUUAGUGUAGUGUAGAGUUAGUGUAGUGUGGGUUAGUGUAGUGUAUGGUUAGUUUAGUGUAUGGUUAGUGUAGUGUAUGGUUAGUGUAGUGUGGGUUAGUGUAGUGUAGAGUUAGUGUAGUGUGGGUUAGUGUAGUGUAUGGUUAGUGUAGUGUGGGGUUAGCGUAGUGUGGGGAUAGUGUAGUGUGGGUUAGUGUAGUGUAGAGUUAGUGUAGUGUGGGUUAGUGUAGUGUAGGAUUAGUGUAGUGUAUGGUUAGUGUAGUGUAUGGUUAGUGUUGUGUAUGGUUAGUGUAGUGUGGGGUUAGUGUAGUGUAGGAUUAGUGUAGUGUAUGGUUAGUGUAGUGUAUGGUUAGUGUAGUGUAUGGUAGGAUUAGUGUAGUGUAUGGUUAGCGUAUGUAUGGUUAGUGUUGUGUGGGGUUAGUGUAGUGUAUGGUUAGUGUGGUGUGGGGUUAGUGUAGUGUAUGGUUAGUGUGGUGUGGGGUUAGUGUAGUGUAUGGUUAGUGUAGUGUGGGGUUAGUGUAGUGUGGAGUUAGUGUAGUGUAUGGUUAGUGUAGUGU